GCGUGCAAGCAGGAGCGGGGCAGGAAUCUCUCAGUUAGGCAACGAGAAGCCUUGCUUCCCAGCUGAGGGAUCCCCACCCCCUCCUGCUUGCAUGCAAGUAAGAAUGGGAUUGGGGCUGCUCCGAUGGGAAGGGAGGCAUCACGCUGCCUGAGAGAUCCCUGGCCCCUCCUGCUUGCACGC